CCCAGCAAUCAGAUGUAUUAAAACAACAAAGCACAACUGUGGUGGCCCAGGCUCCUUCAGCAACAAAGAUUUAACAACAUUGUCAGUCAGGAGCAUAUUUAACAGGAGGCACACUUCAGCUGGCUUGAUAGUGACUUCAGUGCAGUGAAGAUAUUUAAAGAGACACUAUCUAAAGUACAGAAAGCCGUACAUCAUAUCUAGGUGCAGUCGCCUACAGUGCAGCCAGCUUCACAAAGACUGUGGGGCUGGUCACCGGGGAAAUGGACAACAGGGAGUGCUAUUGGGGUUUUACUCCUCAGAUGACCACCCUGGCUACUGUAGCUGGGAUAGCUUCACAGACGAUGGAGGUCUUGAAGAGUAAAGUGUGCGUGCGUGCGCACACAUUGAGUUUUUACUGUAACAAUUACGGUCACUUCCAGUUCAUGUGUUUUCAAUAUA